rnacentral:rRNA from 1 species
AACUAACGCUAGCGGCGUGCCUAACACAUGCAAGUCGUACGAGAAAGUCGGCUUCGGCCGGCGAGUAAAGUGGCGCACGGGUGAGUAACGCGUGGAUAAUCUACCCUUGAGUUGGGAAUAACGUGCCGAAAGGUGCGCUAAUACCGAAUAAUACUGAGUGACUAAUGUUGCUUAGUCAAAGAAGGCCUCUGCUUGCAAGCUUUCGCUGAAGGAUGAGUCCGCGUACCAUUAGCUAGUUGGUAGGGUAAUGGCCUACCAAGGCAACGAUGGUUAGCUGGUCUGAGAGGAUGAUCAGCCACACUGGAACUGAGACACGGUCCAGACUCCUACGGGAGGCAGCAGUGAGGAAUAUUGCGCAAUGGGGGCAACCCUGACGCAGCAACGCCGCGUGAGUGAGGAAGGUUUUCGGACCGUAAAGCUCUGUCGAGCGGGAAGAAAUGCAUGCUGGCUAAUAUCCAUCAUGCUUGACGUACCGCU